rnacentral:rRNA from 1 species
AGCGAACGCUGGCGGCAGGCUUAACACAUGCAAGUCGAGCGGGCGUAGCAAUACGUCAGCGGCAGACGGGUGAGUAACGCGUGGGAACGUACCUUUUGGUUCGGAACAACCCAGGGAAACUUGGGCUAAUACCGGAUAAGCCCUUACGGGGAAAGAUUAUCGCCGAAGAUCGGCCCGCGUCUGAUUAGCUAGUUGGUGAGGUAACGGCUCACCAAGGCGACGAUCAGUAGCUGGUCUGAGAGGAUGAUCAGCCACAUUGGGACUGAGACACGGCCCAAACUCCUACGGGAGGCAGCAGUGGGGAAUAUUGGACAAUGGGCGCAAGCCUGAUCCAGCCAUGCCGCGUGAGUGAUGAAGGCCCUAGGGUUGUAAAGCUCUUUUGUGCGGGAAGAUAAUGACGGUACCGCAAGAAUAAGCCCCGGCUAACUUCGUGCCAGCAGCCGCUGU